GAUGAACGCUGGCGGCGUGCCUAAUACAUGCAAGUCGAGCGAACAGACGAGGAGCUUGCUCCUCUGACGUUAGCGGCGGACGGGUGAGUAACACGUGGAUAACCUACCUAUAAGACUGGGAUAACUUCGGGAAACCGGAGCUAAUACCGGAUAAUAUAUUGAACCGCAUGGUUCAAUAGUGAAAGACGGCUUUGCUGUCACUUAUAGAUGGAUCCGCGCCGCAUUAGCUAGUUGGUAAGGUAACGGCUUACCAAGGCAACGAUGCGUAGCCGACCUGAGAGGGUGAUCGGCCACACUGGAACUGAGACACGGUCCAGACUCCUACGGGAGGCAGCAGUAGGGAAUAUUCCGCAAUGGGCGAAAGCCUGACGGAGCAACGCCGCGUGAGUGAUGAAGGUCUUCGGAUCGUAAAACUCUGUUAUUAGGGAAGAAAAAAUGUGUAAGUAACUAUGCACGUCUUGACGGUACCUAAUCAGAAAGCCACGGCUAACUACGUG
rnacentral:rRNA from 1 species